ACCUACGGGGGGCAGCAGUGAGGAAUAUUGGUCAAUGGUCGGGAGACUGAACCAGCCAAGCCGCGUGAGGGAGGAAGGUACAGAGUAUCGUAAACCUCUUUUGUCAGGGAACAAAGGCGGGGACGUGUCCCCGGAUGAGUGUACUUGAAGAAAAAGCAUCGGCUAACUCCGUGCCAGCAGCCGCGGUAGUACGGAGGAUGCGAGCGUUAUCCGGAUUUAUUGGGUUUAAAGGGUGCGCAGGCGGUCUGUUAAGUCAGCGGUCAAAGCCCGGGGCUCAACCCCGGCCCGCCGUUGAAACUGGCAGU
rnacentral:rRNA from 1 species